rnacentral:rRNA from 1 species
UUUUGCCUACGGGGGGCAGCAGUGGGGAAUAUUGCACAAUGGGCGCAAGCCUGAUGCAGCGACGCCGCGUGCGGGAUGGAGGCCUUCGGGUUGUAAACCGCUUUUGUUCAAGGGCAAGGCAGGCUUUCGGGCCUGUUGAGUGGAUUGUUCGAAUAAGCACCGGCUAACUACGUGCCAGCAGCCGCGGUAAUACGUAGGGUGCAAGCGUUAUCCGGAUUUAUUGGGCGUAAAGGGCUCGUAGGCGGUUCGUCGCGUCCGGUGUGAAAGUCCAUCGCUUAACGGUGGAUCCGCGCCGGGCACGGGCG